CUACGGGAUGCAGCAGUGAGGAAUAUUGCGCAAUGGGGGAAACCCUGACGCAGCGACGCCGCGUGGAUGAUGAAGGCCUUCGGGUCGUAAAAUCCUGUCAGAAGGAAAGAAGUGUAUGGUAGCUAAUAUCUGCCAUACUUGACGGUACCUUCAAAGGAAGCACCGGCUAACUCCGUGCCAGCAGCCGCGGUAAUACGGAGGGUGCAAGCGUUGUUCGGAAUUACCGGGCGUAAAGCGCGCGUAGGCGGUUUUAUAAGUCAGAUGUGAAAGUCCACGGCUCAACCAUGGAAGUGCAUUUGAAACUGUAAGACUUGAGUAUUGGAGGGGGUAGUGGAAUUCCCGGUGUAGAGGUGAAAUUCGUAGAUAUCGGGAGGAAUACCGGUGGCGAAGGCGACUAUCUGGCCAAAUACUGACGCUAAGGUGCGAAAGCGUGGGGAGCAAACAGGAUUAGAUACCCUUGUAGUC
rnacentral:rRNA from 1 species